UGAAACUUUGGGGUACGCCGCUGAUCGCUGAUUAAAUAAGACUUGGCAAAGUCUUAGUACGCAAUCGCAAAACAUCGCCCCAAUUUUAACAUUUUUAAGCUGAAGUCAAGAAAUUUUUUGUUGAACUAUAUAAUUAAGAAGAACCUGCAAAUGAAGACACAUGUUUGAUAUAAACCUGUCAGAAUAAAUAGGAAAACUGGGGAUGAAGGUAAAUGUGUCACGUGUAACUUGCCACAUGCAACAGUUACAUUGUUUUUAUCGGGUCCGUUCAGACACGUGGCAACAUGGUACGGAAUGUAAAACACCAAGCGAUUCACAAAUAGAGUUGGAACGGCGUAGCACAUGUGCUUUAAUACUGUUGCGUAGCAUUUUCGUAGGCCCCACUGAUUCAAAUAGAAUCUUCCGACUUAUUAUUAACUUGAGGAACUGCUGAUUUAGUUAAAAAUAAACGCACUCCACGCCGCAGAGACAACCACACCAGCGAAAUACAAAAUUCCACACUAAACAUUAUUCUUCACUAAGACUAUGCACAGAAAUUUACUUAAAGCUGUGCAAUUACAACAGUUUUCAAACAAAAUCAUAAAAAUUAAAAAAAAAAAAUACUUUUAGUAUUCUUUACAAGAAUAUUAAAUAAUACUUAAACUUAAUUAAAUAAUAAUUCGAUUUAUUAUUUAAAUUUAAAUAUAAAUAAAUAACACGCAAAAAAUAUUUUCUUUAUAAUUAUAAGUUAUAAUUUUAAGGAAUCUACCGUUUUAUUUAAAAACGGUUUCGUCCAAACAAAUUCACCUUUUAAAAAUCGCCUUUUUGUUGUUUUUUUUUAAUGAAGUUUUUUGCAUUUCACGCCGAUACCAUAAAAAUUUGGGAUAACGUUAAAGCAUCAAAUUGAUGCGUGUUAGAGACUAUCGUUUGCGACAUGUUUCUCUUUUGGGCAACUAAAAAAAUUUUUUUAUUGAGACUAAAACUUGAAACACCCUGUACAUAACAGAAUGACAUCGUAAUGUGUCUUGGGCAAGCCAACGUCAUGUCGUUUUUUCAGACCAUGUUACUUACCACUUGAAAAAAGUUUCUCUCUUUAACAAGUGUACUUAAAUUUUGAAUUAGUAAAAAUACGUAAAAAUCAUAAAUUGAAUGUUUCUCUCCGAUUUUUUCACAAUUAUUCACGGGUUUUUUAAGAUGACGGGGUCAAUAAAUAAAAUACCGCAGCCUUUGUGCUUGUACCUCUUUUACGUUUUAUUCAUAAAAAGGUAUGAAUAUAUUGGGGGUUAUUAUAAUAAAAUGGGAUGAUACUGAUAAAAACCGAAAAUUCUUGGGAUCGUAACCAAAAGAGGAUGGGUUUUGUACGUAUGAAAUAUUUACAGAGACUAGAGCUUAUUGGCCUUAAUUUGAAGGAUGUAUUUUCACACUCACGGAAAGCAUUUUGUGCGUUGCAACACAGGAAAUCAACAAAACUGAAUAAAUCAAACCAAAAUUUACAGAUGGCAAAUGCGAAAACACAUCCCAGGGUUUACACAAUUAAAAACAGAUCUUUGAAAAAACUGUACAUUCUAGAGAGCUAUAAUAUAGAGAGAUUAUCGUCGAUAUGUCAUGCAGACCUACAACAUCUGCUUAAAAAAGAAUAGAGUAUCAAAAUAUAACUAACUAAAAAUACACUAAACACGUGGGAAAUUAGUUUCCAUUGCACUUAUACUAAAAAUCGAAUAAACUUAACUAUUCAUAAAUACAAAUGAGACUCGAGAGAGCGUAAUGUAAGUCCUACCAGUCAUUUUAUAACUUAAAUCUUACAACUACAAGACAAAUGUGUCAUUAUAUCGAAUUUUCACCAUUAUGGGGCUUCCACUAUUGUCCAAAAUUAAGAAAAAUUCACGUUGAGUUCAAACUUGACGAUAGUGGAAGUCGGAACUACUAUUUGUCCACAACUAAGAACAGCCACGAUUAAACCUGUCAAAAUCUUAAUCGAUAAAAGGGUAAAAUUUUUAGUAGUUUUUAAAGAUCGUACAACCUACUAUUUGACAUAUGUAUCUAUGUGUACAAUGUGGUUUUAAAAUCGAAUACCGCAU